GUUACCUGAGGCCUUGAUUUAGGUGAGAGGCGGAUACCAAGAUUCCAAUAGCAGGGAUCUACUCUGAAAAUAAUUUGUAAUUAUGUAUUUAAUUACUUAAUUAUUCUAUAUCCUCUCCAAUAGACUGUCAUAUCUAUAAGGCAUAUGCAAGUUGCCCAAUACAAUGCACUAUUUGUUAAAGGAAUGAAUGAAAAGCAACAUAUUUAGUGGAGGAAGACAUCUUUGCAUGUGCACUUCACCAUGUGUUAGGUCAGCUGGAGUUCAGUUGAUUGAAGCUGGGAUCAGCUGGAUUUAACUCCAAGCUGCAGGUUGGGUUCAGAUCUGCACCACAUGUCAUUCGUCUUUCUUGGAACAUGUUCUUUUCAGGGAUAAAAGGCUGGAAGGGAAGCCAGCCCCACAAGCACAUUGUCUCCCUCCUGUCCACUGAGAGCUUCCCACGCAGGCAACCAGAUGCCUCGCAGCAGCCACAUCUCCAGACCCCAGGGUUCCUGCAACGGUGGAUACCAUCUUCGCAGCCAUAGUAGCUCCUUGGCCAUGGGCAAUGCC